CCUAUAAAAACCCAUCAACAGAACAAAGUAAAAAAAUACAUUUUGGUACUUAAGAUUUGAAAUCAUAGGACUCAUCACAAAACUGCAUCUGAAAACAAUAAAAAGAAACAGAAUCAAAACCAUGGAAACCUUCCAAGGACUCAUAUUUUACACAGAGUCAAGAGAGACUAGAGAUCAAUUUUUGAAUUUUUUUUCUUCCUUUUAUCUUAAUGUGAGAAGUUGCAUUUUUGCUUUAGAACAGGAGCAUUUGUAAACAAGAAUUAUUUGGAGAAAUCAGAAUCAUUCAAGGAAAAAUGUUAUGCUAUUAUGAUUGAAGGAGUGCUGCAUUUUCCUAGGCUUCAUUUAUGGGAGGGUUAAAGAAAUCCUUACAGUAACUUAGAAUUUUUUUCUUUCAGACAUUCUGUUCACCUUAUUUGUUACCCAGAACAGAUCAGAUCUCAGCUUUUUCAGUCUUCAAUUACUGACUGAUGCACAGGAAUAAUCACACUGCAGACAACAGAAAUUAAUUAAUGCUAAGUACCUUCCUACCAGAACUCACAGCUAGAAGCUGCCAGAAGAUUAUUUUGACCUAAUACGCACUGGAAAAAAGCUUCUUCUGUUCAGCUAAAAUAAAUGGUACCAAUUUCAAGGCCAGUUUCCAUAUUGGUCUUCCUGUCUACGAUCUCUGUCGUUACUUUUCGCUGUGGAAAUAACAUUACUGCAGCACAUAAGCACUAAUGAUAUACACUAGAGAGAAAUACUCAGAUGCAUACUAGAAAAUGAGAUGUUCCUUCCAAACACAUUCCAAUAUCUUAUUGAAAAA